UACGGGGGGGGCAAGCGUUGUUCGGAAUUACUGGGCGUAAAGCGCGUGUAGGCGGCCCUUCAAGUCGAGUGUGAAAGCUCCAGGCUUAACCUGGGAAUUGCGCUCGAUACUGUUGAGCUAGAGUGUGGAAGGGGCUACUGGAAUUCCGUGUGUAGCGGUGAAAUGCGUAGAGAUCCGGAGGAACACCAGCGGCGAAGGCGGCGUCCUGGACUGGUACUGACGCUCAGGAGCGAAAGCGUGGGGAGCGAUCCGG
rnacentral:rRNA from 1 species